rnacentral:rRNA from 1 species
AACGAACGCUGGCGGCAUGCCUAACACAUGCAAGUCGAACGAGACCUUCGGGUCUAGUGGCGCACGGGUGCGUAACGCGUGGGAACCUGCCCUUAGGUUCGGAAUAACUCCCCGAAAGGGGUGCUAAUACCGGAUAAUGUCUUCGGACCAAAGAUUUAUCGCCUUUGGAUGGGCCCGCGUUGCAUUAGCUAGUUGGUAGGGUAAAAGCCUACCAAGGCGACGAUCCAUAGCUGGUCUGAGAGGAUGAUCAGCCACACUGGGACUGAGACACGGCCCAGAAUCCUACGGGAGGCGGGCGAGGGGAAUAUUGGAAAACGGGGGAAGGCAUGAUCCAGCAAUGCCGGGUGAGUGAUGAAGGCCUUGGGGUUGUAAACCUCUUUAACCCGGGAGGAUAAUGACAGUACCGGAAGAAUAAGCACCGGCUAACUCCGUG